rnacentral:sRNA from 1 species
UUUUACAUUUUUUAAAUCCACACAUACAUCGACACGCCGCGCAGGGUGCCUGAACCAAAAAAAUCGGGUUGCGCAGGUGGGAUGUAUGGAGGCAUAAC